AGGAAGAAGAAGGGGUGAUAAAUUCCUUCUAUCAUUUUUGCCACCCUAACAGUGGUUGAAGCGUCAAGCUCAAUGACGUAAAAGAAAGCGCUUGGUGGGAGGCAACCCAUCCUUUUUAUUAUGUCUUUAUUUUCAUUAAUUUAUUUCUAUUGUUGAGUCAAACAAUUUGUCUUUAAUUUUUAUUUUGGUUGUAUCCCCCUGUUAUGUGAUUGAAUCUGAACUUGUUUAUUAUUGAUGAAUUUGCUUGUUUGUUGAUUUUUUCCAGUUUAAUAACAAAUGUUUGUUCAAGUGGUAUUCCAAAAGUUCAAAAGGAUGAGUGACUUGUGAUUCAAAGGCGAAGUGUACGGCAGUGAAAGAUAGGUAGUCACAACUCCCAGAAAUCUAAACUGUAAGGUUCAUGGCCAAAUUUUAUUUUCUAAUUUACUUCUAAAGAGUGUUCCAUGCAUUUACAUUUCUAGAACUUGCAAUUUUUCUCUUUUGUUGAUUGAUCUUUGUCAUUAGCACACUGAGGCAAAAGUGCUUGGUCCUGUGAGCCUUUUUGAAGCCUACCUUUUUAUUAUUUGAAAUAUUAUCCUUUUUUAGCCAAUUUGAGCCGGUAGGUUUAGAUAUUUUUGUUCAGUGACAAACUACAUUACAAGCUUAGAGACUUUUAUGAUUUAUCCCUUAUUGUUUUUCUGAGUUAGGCAUUGUAGAAUGUUGCUAAAUAUUAAGUUUGGGGUUGCUAUUGGAAUUUGCAACCAACUAAGUUUGGGGUGGGG
rnacentral:lncRNA from 1 species